AUCCUGUGAAAAUAAGGGGGUCGUUAUGGAAAGGGGAAGGACAUGAGGAAGGAAUUCCAGAUUUAAACAGUUGAGAGUGGGCAUGCAGUGAGGUACUCUGAGAAACAUUUAAUCGGUGCCCUUUCCUCAGGGUACAUGACACAGUCGGAGCUGGCCAGCUGGCCUUCUGACACUCCAUGACACAGAGGGAACCCCAUCCAACUCCACUUUUCAUCCAUCUAUUUUUGAAUCCUUUUAACACUUUAUGAGGGAGGAAGGGAGAACAACAGAACAGGCAGGCAGGCGGUGUUUAACCCCACAACACUGCCAUAGAGCCUAAAAGCUUGAGAGUAAAUACAAUUUCUUUGGCACCUUGUAAAAAGACAUGAACAAUGCAUAUCUCACCAUGUUAUUAGUCUCCGGAUUCCACGCUCCAGCAUACUUACACAUUCACAGAAAAGAGAGACAGACAAAGAGAGUACUGUGCUGAGAUGUGCAGACAGAAAAAUUCGGGAUUCAAGCCACAACAAUAUUAAUGAGGAAAGGGAGGGUAGGGCAGCCCAGUGAACAAUGAGCUGCUCUCAUCAGUUUUGAAAGACAGUGGAGAAGACACACAAACAUUCCUCAUUUCUUGCCUUGGCUGGAUAACUCGGCUGCAAAAGGCAGACAAUUAAGCAACCAAUUCCAUGCUGGGGAAGACAGACAUCUGUAAAGAGAGAGAAAACCAUCUCUGAUUCAGCUUCAUUUCAGCAGCAAGUGCAAUUUUACAUCCUCAGAAGCAGGAACCAGAGGAUAAUUGGAGAAGUGGGGUGGAAACUAAGAAGAACCUACAGAAUUUCCAGACUUCUCGAUAGAGCUGGGCUGCACUGACAUUUUGCCUGUUCCUGGGCUGCUGGACUUAGGGCCUGGCCACAGCUACCUGAUCUGAAUCUAAGGAUACUGUCGCUGGAGUUCUUAUAGCCCCAUCUCCAGAAAACAACUGAAAUAAACACAAGAUACAUUCUUCUCUUGAAUAUUA